UGGCAGUUCAGUAUUCCUUCUUUGGUUGCUAGGAGUGAAUCUUUGAUAGCCAAACAUGCCGCAAAAUUUCUAUUACUUCAUGGUGAUUCUAAAGUUUGUUUAUGAAAGCUAACCAUGGUUCUUGGUUCCCCUAUGUCUUUUCUCGUUUGUCCUCCAAGUGGCUCCUAGUAUGGAUGAAAUAUGCCCCCAUACGUAUUAUUUAUUUUAACAUUAGAUGGUAUAUUGGUAAUGG
rnacentral:lncRNA from 1 species